rnacentral:rRNA from 1 species
AGGAUGAACGCUGGCGGCGUGCUUAACACAUGCAAGUCGAACGAUGAUCCCCAGCUUGCACGGGUGAUUAGUGGCGAACGGGUGAGUAACACGUGAGUAACCUGCCCUUGACUCUGGGAUAAGCCUGGGAAACUGGGUCUAAUACUGGAUAUGCACCGUGAACCGCAUGGUUUUUGGUGGAAAGAUUUAUUGGUCAAGGAUGGACUCGCGGCCUAUCAGCUUGUUGGUGAGGUAAUGGCUCACCAAGGCGACGACGGGUAGCCGGCCUGAGAGGGUGACCGGCCACACUGGGACUGAGACACGGCCCAGACUCCUACGGGAGGCAGCAGUGGGGAAUAUUGCACAAUGGGCGAAAGCCUGAUGCAGCGACGCCGCGUGAGGGAUGACGGCCUUCGGGUUGUAAACCUCUUUCAGUAGGGAAGAAGCGAAAGUGACGGUACCUGCAGAAGAAGCGCCGGCUAACUACGUGCCAGC